rnacentral:rRNA from 1 species
CCUACGGGUGGCAGCAGUGAGGAAUAUUGGUCAAUGGACGAGAGUCUGAACCAGCCAAGUAGCGUGAAGGAUGACUGCCCUAUGGGUUGUAAACUUCUUUUAUAUGGGAAUAAAGUGUUCCACGCGUGUGAUUUUGUAUGUACCUUAUUAAUAAGGAUCGGCUAACUCCGUGCCAGCAGCCGCGGUAAUACGGAGGAUCCGAGCGUUAUCCGGAUUUAUUGGGUUUAAAGGGAGCGUAGGUGGAUUGUUAAGGCAGUUGUGAAAGUUUGUGGCUCAACCGUAGAAUUGCAGUUGAAACUGGCAGUCUUGAGUACAGGAGAGGUGGGCGGAAGUCGUGGUGUAGCGGUGAAAUGCUUAGAUAUCACGAAGAACUCCGAUUGCGAAGGCAGUUCACUGGACUGCAACUGACGCUGAGGCUCGAAAGUGUGGGUAUCAAACAGGAUUAGAUACCCCAGUAGUC